ACAGGCAGUGACCCAGAGGCCCUUCUGCUUCCUGGCUAUCAAGUCGUGGUGGCCCUUAUGGGAGUUCAUGUGAGGAGAGGCAGCAAUGAUGAGAGCUCCAUAUCCUCUUGCCAUUGGGAGAUGCUCACUCACAAUCCCAGAGAGAGAGAGGAGAGAGAGAGAAACAGAGACAGAGAAAGAAAGACAGAAAGAGGCAAAGACAAAGAGGCAAAGAAAGAGGGAGGAACCACUGGCUUAGUUGUGAUCAUGUGAUGUUCAGUAUCAUGUAGUGCUCGUAUUACAAGAUAUUGCUUGUUUAUCAAAUUAAAAUGUCAGAAAUUUGCUCAUCUUGCAGAAUCCUCACAGAACAAAUUACUUAUAAUCCAA